CCUACGGGAGGCAGCAGUGAGGAAUAUUGGUCAAUGGACGAGAGUCUGAACCAGCCAAGUAGCGUGAAGGAUGACUGCCCUAUGGGUUGUAAACUUCUUUUAUAUGGGAAUAAAAUGUUCCACUUGUGGGAUUUUGUAUGUACCAUAUGAAUAAGGAUCGGCUAACUCCGUGCCAGCAGCCGCGGUAAUACGGAGGAUCCGAGCGUUAUCCGGAUUUGUUGGGUUUAAAGGGAGCGUAGGUGGUGUGUUAAGUCAGUUGUGAAAUUUUGCGGCUCAACCGUAAAAUUGCAGUUGAAACUGGCAGUCUUGAGUACAGUAGAGGUGGGCGGAAUUCGUGGUGUAGCGGUGAAAUGCUUAGAUAUCACGAAGAACUCCGAUUGCGAAGGCAGCCCACUGGACUGCAACUGACACUGAGGCUCGAAAGUGUGGGUAUCAAACAGGAUUAGAUACCCUUGUAGUC
rnacentral:rRNA from 1 species